ACCACUUCAGUAUCUUUGCCCAAAAAACUUCAUGGACUAUACGGUGUCAUGAAGAGUUGGACACAACUGAAUGACAGCAACGAUCUGAUUCUUAGAGCUUUAUCCAAAGACUUCUUGAGAUACUUUCUCCAUCUCCACGAGGCACCUUCUAACUUCUGGGAUCCCAGCCCAGCUGUCUGGGACUCAGGCCCUGGCAGUGUUUGGUUUGACAUUCAUCUGCCUUGCAGGGGAUUAGGGCUCCCACGUCCCUCUCUAGCUCUGUCUCCAGCCCCAGUGGCCAUCUCUUUGUCCGAAGAAGGCUAGAGUAUUCUUGGCUUGGCCCCCUUUCCAGGGAAAAACCAGAUGUUAUCACUUCACUUUUUAAUAAAUUCUUCCCCCAUCAUUCAGUCAGUAGCAGGUGACUGAGUAGGUCCAGGGGGAAAAUAAAGACUAUUCCCACAUUUCACAAUCUCCUCAAGCAGACAAAAGUUGCAUCACCCUGCUCCCCAGAGUACACAAGAAAGAAAUAUUUCUGUCCAUGACUCUUGUAGAACUCCAUGUACACAUAUGUUGUGAUAGUGACAUGCAGAACAUCAUUUCAGUGCAGUGAAUCAGACUGGUUUCCCCUCUGUCCUCAAGGGAAUUGUGGAUCCAAAUGCUGUCUUGAUCACAGGAGAAGUAAAUUGAUUGAAGUUAGCCUUUGACAUUUUCCAGGGACCAAUGAACUCAUGAAGCUGGGCCUGACCUGGAUAGAAAUGUGGACUUCAGAUUUUGGGAGUGUUUCUACCUUUGCAUGUUAUGAAAGAGAUGGGUGUGUUUCUUCUGAUAAAUGACUCCAAAUGAA